CCUACGGGCUGCAGCAGUGGGGAAUAUUGGACAAUGGGCGAAAGCCUGAUCCAGCCAUGCCGCGUGUGUGAAGAAGGCCUUCGGGUUGUAAAGCACUUUCAGUGGGGAAGAAAGCCUUGGGGCUAAUACCCUCGAGGAAGGACAUCACCCACAGAAGAAGCACCGGCUAACUCCGUGCCAGCAGCCGCGGUAAUACGGAGGGUGCGAGCGUUAAUCGGAAUUACUGGGCGUAAAGCGCGCGUAGGCGGUCUGAUAAGCCGGUUGUGAAAGCCCCGGGCUCAACCUGGGAACGGCAUCCGGAACUGUCAGGCUAGAGUGCAGGAGAGGAAGGUAGAAUUCCCGGUGUAGCGGUGAAAUGCGUAGAGAUCGGGAGGAAUACCAGUGGCGAAGGCGGCCUUCUGGACUGACACUGACGCUGAGGUGCGAAAGCGUGGGUAGCAAACAGGAUUAGAUACGCCGGUAGUC
rnacentral:rRNA from 1 species